rnacentral:rRNA from 1 species
AUUGAACGCUGGCGGCAUGCCUAACACAUGCAAGUCGAACGGCAGCGGGGGAGAAGCUUGCUUUUCCUGCCGGCGAGUGGCGAACGGGUGAGUAAUACAUCGGAACGUGCCCUGUAGUGGGGGAUAACUAGUCGAAAGAUUAGCUAAUACCGCAUACGACCUGAGGGUGAAAGUGGGGGACCGCAAGGCCUCAUGCUAUAGGAUCGGCCGAUGUCUGAUUAGCUAGUUGGUGGGGUAAAGGCCUACCAAGGCGACGAUCAGUAGCUGGUCUGAGAGGACGAUCAGCCACACUGGGACUGAGACACGGCCCAGACUCCUACGGGAGGCAGCAGUGGGGAAUUUUGGACAAUGGGCGAAAGCCUGAUCCAGCAAUGCCGCGUGUGUGAAGAAGGCCUUCGGGUUGUAAAGCACUUUUGUCCGGAAAGUAAUGGCUCUGGUUAAUACCUGGGGUCGAUGACGGUACCGGAAGAAUAAGGACCGGCUAACUACGUGCCAGCCGCCGCAGUAA